rnacentral:lncRNA from 1 species
CUUUACUGGAUCUUUUUCCAAGUCCUGCUCACUAAAGAACUGCUUCAUACAAAAUCCUACUAAUGUGCUGGAGACAGUCCAGGUUAUUGUGCCUUGUCUGCUAUGCCAAAUUCCAAAGGGUUGCAAAGGCUUCUGCAAGAAAUCUGAGAAUACAAGAAUACAACUGUGAUUGGUUUAUUUUCCCUCCCUCCCUCCCUCCCUCCCUCCCUCCCUCCAUUCCUCCCUUCCUUCCUUCCUUCCUUCCGUCGUACCUUCCUUCCUUCCGUCGAACCUUCCUUCCUUCCAUCGUACCUUCCUUCCUUCCUUCCUUCCUUCCUUCCUUCCUUCCUUCCUUCCUUCCUUCCUUCCUUCCUUUCUUUCUUUCUUUCUUUCUUUCUUUCUUCCUUUCUUUCUUUCUUUCUUUCUUUCUUUCUUUCUUUCUUUCUUUCUUCCUUUCUUUCUUUCUUUCUUUCUUUCUUUCUUUCUUUCUUUCUUUCUUUCUUUCUUUCUUUCUUUCUUUCUUUCUUUCUUUCUUUCUUUCUUUCUUUCUUUCUUUCUUUCCUUCUUUCCUUCUUUCUUUCUUUCUUUCCUUCUUUCUUUCCUUCUUUCUUAGUUCAGUUCAGUUCUAAGUUUUUAUCAAAGUUCUGCUCAGAUGUACAUGAGGCCUUUCCUGACCCCCUUAGUUCGUUCUCCUUUCUAAAUAUACUUUAGGAUACAUUUUGUAUUUACUAAUAUUUGUAGGCAUCAUGUUUCCUUAGUAAAGCACAAACUCUUGAAGAGCAAGAAUCAUUUUCUUUUUG